rnacentral:lncRNA from 1 species
UCUUUUAUUUAGAAAAUAAGGAACACUGUUGCUUCAGAUACCAAUAUAAAUUUACUACCAACAGCCCUAAAAUCAACCUUUUCAACUACAAAAGACCAUUUAGUGAAUUUAAAUAACUCUGUUGAGCCAAUCAUGGCAGGUGUAAACACCAUUAAAAGUAUUCGAACUGUUGAUAAUGUUGUUAAAGAAGCUACAUAUUUUGAGAUUAUUAAUGAUAACUCAGGUGACAAUUGUGCUUAUAAUUGGGUUGCUUGCGCUGGAAUGCUUGAAUCACUUAUAAAUAAUUUCCAGGAAUGUAGCUUACUUUUUACAAAACUUAAAACAGAAAGUUAUCCAAAUCCAAUUUCAUUUUUACUUUCUACUUCUCAUAUCUUCAAUAAAAGAAGAAUCUGAAAAAUAUUUUUCUUGAGCAUGAUCCUGGUAAAUGAACUAUUGCAAAAUCUUCAUAUCAAAGGAAGUAUCUAUUAGGUUCGGGUCCAAAUCAACCUAUAUUAGCUAAAUUUCCGAAUAACACAGAUAUUCCGCAUGGAAAGCAACGUCAGUUUAGUUCCUUGUGGUAUAAAGAGUAACACUUAGAAUAUAGUUUAAUCAAAAAUGCUGCUUUUUGUUUUAUUUGCUCUUUGUUUCCAAAUGGUCAAAACAAAACUUAUCUUGAGCCUGCUUGGACAGAAACAGGUGUUCGUGCUUGGCAUAAAUAUAUGUAAGGUAGAGGUUCCAAGAAACCUGGUAAGCCUCUUCAGCACUUUUCGUCAAAUACGCAUAAAUUAGCGUUACUUAAUUUUAGCAAUUUUUUAAAUAGUUCUAACCAUAUUGACUGCAUUAUAAAUAGGCAUAACAGAGAAAAAGAAAUUCAAGAUACACACCAUCAACAAUUUCACAAAGAAGUAAUAACUAUAUUGUUUGAUGUACCUCUUACCCUUGGCAGGCAGGGCUUAGCUUUUAGGGGGGAUGAAAAACAAAUUCUUUUAUUAUUAUCAAGACAUAAUUUUGUAGUAAAAAAAUGGUUUGACAAGAAAGCAUUUCGAAAAUACAAUAUCACUUAUCUUUCUCAUGAAUCACAAAAUGAGUUUGUGGACUGAUUUUGCUAGUAGUAUGUCUGGUAAAAUAGAUGGAACACAACAAAAAUUAUCUGAUCAUCUUGGUCGCUCAACUCUAAUUAUACCUUGCCAGGCCCAUAGAAUUAAUACAUUCCUUGAGCAUAGCUAUAAUACCAGUGUUAUAGAUGGAGAUUUGCUUUCUGUGUUGGAAUAAUUGUAUGUUUUUUUCUCUUCCAGUACAAAGAGACAUGGACAUUUACAAAAAUUUUAGAAUUGAUUGAAAAUUCUUUACAGCUCCGUAAUUAAUCUAAAACAAGAUGGACAGCUUGAGCUGAAUCGAUAAAAUCUGUAUGGGUUCCAUUAAAAUUAGUUAUAAAUACUCUAUUAGAUAUGUCAACUGAUCUCAAUUUAGAUAAAAGUACUAGAGCUCAAGCCUUCAGAUUAUCUAAAAAAAUGCUGACAUUUGACUUUAUAGUAUCCUUGUAUUUUAUCUAAAAAAAUGCUGACAUUUGACUUUAUAGUAUCCUUGUAUUUUAUCUAAAAAAAUGCUGACAUUUGACUUUAUAGUAUCCUUGUAUUUUAUCUAAAAAAAUGCUGACAUUUGACUUUAUAGUAUCCUUGUAUUUUAUCUAAAAAAAUGCUGACAUUUGACUUUAUAGUAUUCUUGUAUUUUAUCUAAAAAAAUGCUGACAUUUGACUUUAUAGUAUCCUUGUAUUUUAUCUAAAAAAAU